CCGAGAAGGGUUAAUUGAGUCACUGAAGAAAAGCCCUAAUUUUAAGUCAGAAAUUAAGGUUCGAUCAUCCAACUUACAAUCAACAUAAAACCCAUCAAAACAAUCAAUAUAUAAUCGAAAAGAUAAGCAAAUGUACUGACUUUUACUUCUGAUUUUUUCAUUGUUUUGAUUAUAUAACAAUUGUCGUUGGAUGUGAAUUAAGAUGAUGUUCAAAUCUAAAAUUAAAUUUUGUCCUUUCUGUCUUUACUGGUGCACUUAUUUCUAGCCAAUUCAACCACCGAUUUAGGAUACUAUAGUGCUGUAACGAAUUUUAAUGAAGAUAUAAAUAUAGGUGUCGGGGGAAAGCUGGUAAUGCUUGCUAUUACUUCUUUAUGUUUUUCUAACUUUUAAUACACAAAAAAGGCAUGCAUGCUUAUAUACAUAUAUGUACACACAGAUUAUAUGAUACAUUUCCUAUCCUAAUUGGUACAGCAUGCUAUAUCUAAAAAGUUGUGGAGAAAGGUGGAGUCUUUGGAAUCCUUGCAGCCAUAUGCAAAACCUAGAAGCAGAUAUCCUGGUAAUUUUUGUUGUUUAUAACAUUGUUAUCAUAAUAUCACAUGUGAAUAAAAUCAUUAAGAAUUUACAGAGAUUAAAGUUGGACUUGUAUCAUAAAAUCCUUUCUUCCUGUUUGAUAAAUAGAAAAUGGCGGAGGAUUCUGACUACCAGACUUUUAUCAAUUAGAACUUUCUCUUUGUUAGUCAUCAGUAGAAAUACUUGUAAGGGAAAAAAUAAUUGGGGUAUGAGUUACUGAAACUUAAGAAAGGCAACAUUGGAAAUAUUUGCAGUAAUAAAUAAACUAAAAGCUGUCUGGGUGUUGAUUUUGAUUAGGAUCUCUUAUCUCCUUUUUUCUCUAGAGAAAAAAAAAUGGAAUUCAAACAUCCUGUCCAUGCUAAGCUUUUCAGUAGUGGUGCUUUAAGCGCAACUUGUCCUUUCCUAAGCCUUUACUACAUUGUAUUUUGCAGCUCCAACUGAGAGGAACAAUGGCUUCAUAUAUGCCAAAAUUUUUGGUGGAUUUGAAAAUAUAACAACAUAAAACCCAUCAAAACAAUCAAUAUAUAAUCGAAAAGAUAAACAGAUGUACUGACUUUUACUUCUGAUUUUUUCAUUGUGUUGAUUAUAUAAAUUUUGCAAUCAUUCAAUUUUCAUUGAAUCUAAUCUCAUAACUGAUUUUACUUUAAGCUUACAGAGUGUCUCAUCCCUUUAUAAGAAUGAAUUCUUCCAAAUUUGUUCAUGUUUCACUGAUCAAGGUAUCAUUUUCAAAUCCUCACAAAAAUAUCUAACAAAUGGCCAUAAGGUUAGCUUCCGAUGAAAAGAAUGUAAAACAUUAGCAAUGCUAAAUCUAUAUACAAUUGUCAAUUCACAUUUUAAUCCUAAUGGUUUGACACAUUUUGAGAUCUGUUUUGCAGUUUUUCAAUUGUCAAUUCACAUAAGGUAUGAUUUUGAUGUGGGUUUCUAUGAGAUUUUAAUUCUUUUUAUGUUAAUAUAAUUGUCUUAAAUGAGCCAGAAUAAUUAUCUACUAUACAAUACCUUUGCUACAACUGUAUGUAUAGCACAUGCCAGAACCUCUUUCACCAGCUCGAAAAUCAGCUUGCAGCACUCUCCCAACAGGUCCUGCUGCAAGCCUGCAACACUGCAGCCAACCCCAAGCGAAAAAUGCAUGCGACUGCAAAAUGUUUUCAUGGCUUUGGAAUCAUGAAAAACAAUUAUGAAGUCCAUGAGCUCACCUCCUACCUAGAAUAAGAAGUAAAAGAAAAGAUACUCCUUCCGUCCCAUAGUUAUAGGCUGAUUUUCCAUUUUUAGAUGUCCCAAUAUAUAGGCUACUUACUAUUUAUAAAAUUUAGUUGGUUCAUUAUUUUACUUUUAUGCCCUUAUAAUAAAUAUUUAACCAUUACUCUUUUUUUGAAGAAACAACUUUCAAUGUCAUUAUUUUUAUCACUACAUUUAAUGUUGUUGUAUUUUCAAUAAAAGAAUUUAACUUCUUAGGCUUUGCUAGUUUAACAUAUUUUGUGUAUAAAAGGCAAUUGUACCAGCAAUCAAAGUUAAGAGUUUCAAUGUGAUAAGUAAGGAGUAAUUAAUUUAUUCAUUAAUUCUAUAUUAAAGGGUAUAUGUGAAAAAUUUCUGUUAAAAAUUAACUUAAACUGAUUCUUUUAAACUAUGUGCCAAAAGAAAUCAGCCUAUAACUAUGGGACGGAGGGAGUAUAACUCUUCACAAAAAAAAAACAAAAACAAAAAAUUCACUUUAAAAUAAUUUAUCAUAAUUCAAAUCAUAUAGCAUUGUCCGUAUAGAAUUUAAUACAGNNNNNNNNNNNNNNNNNNNNNNNNNNNNNNNNNNNNNNNNNNNNNNNNNNNNNNNNNNNNNNNNNNNNNNNNNNNNNNNNNNNNNNNNNNNNNNNNNNNNCUAAUUUUAAGUCAAAAAUUAAGGACAAUCAUCCAACUUACAAUCAACAUAAAACCCAUCAAAACAAUCAAUAUAUAAUCGAAAAGAUAAGCAGAUAUACUAACCUUACGAAGAGAAAUAGACUUAAAAGUUCUCUCGCUUUGCUGACCUUCAGAGAGCUCAAGAACGGGUCGAGGCGGCGACGGCGGCGGGGGAGGUGGAGGAGUAGGAGCGAGAGAAGAGGAACAUGUAUAUGGAAGUGAAAUAUGGGUGAGGGUAGUGAAGAAGAGGAAGAGAGAGAGGAACGGUUUUGUGGAUCGAAAGAGUCCAAUUUAGUCGUG
rnacentral:lncRNA from 1 species